rnacentral:tRNA from 1 species
GGGCGCCUCCCCCGGUGGGGGGAGGCGCCCUUCUGUGGCGCGACGGAGGCUUACGCCUCCUUGCUCAGGUUCGGGCCCGAGCCGCCCGC